rnacentral:lncRNA from 1 species
GAUGAGGGCUGUUGGUGUCACCCACACCUCCCCUUUUUCCUCCUCCCCACUCCCUGGUGACCUCCUCUCAUCUGGGCCAUGCAGUCUGUAGUGUCUCCUGUGACCAAGGCCAUCUUCGUGGCUUUGUUCCUCUUUGCCAUCCUGCUCAUCCUCUACGUGAUCCUCUGGUACAUCUGCAGAGACGUGGACAACGACUACAUCUGAGGUCCGCAGGCUGGAUGGCUGCUGUCUCCCGCACGAACAGGUCUAAAGCUAAGUCUUUGCUGAUAGAGUCCCUAAUCUUUGCUGCCCAAAUCACCAACCCCACCUCCAGAUCAGCUCUUCAGCCGUCAAGGGGCACAACACUUGGGGAGAAGGAGCCUGCUAUCCCCAUUACCACCAACGCCAACAGCUUCUGAUAAGCAGGUAAGCCCAAGAGUCUCAAGAAUGGUAGUGUCCCACAGAGCACCAGCCUUACUUUGAGCAUCGUCCCUGAAGCCAUCAUCCAAGGAAGUAGCCCUUUGUACUACCUUCUCAUCUCUGCCUCUUAGAAUUUCUUCUUUUCUUCAACACUCAGUUCAAGCACUACCUUCUAUAUCAAGCCUUUCCUGUUCCCCUUGACUUCUAAUGCCCUGUCAAAAUUGCCUUGUAUUUAUUGGCAUAUAUAUUCCAUAAGUACUUAUUAAUAUACAUACUGUUUUUUUAACAUUUUUUUGAGCUCCAAUUCUCUCCCUCCACCCCC